CUAAUACCGCAUACGUCCUACGGGAGAAAGCAGGGGACCUUCGGGCCUUGCGCUAAUAGAUGAGCCUAAGUCGGAUUAGCUAGUUGGUGGGGUAAAGGCCUACCAAGGCGACGAUCUGUAGCGGGUCUGAGAGGAUGAUCCGCCACACUGGGACUGACACACGGCCCAGACUCCUACGGGAGGCAGCAGUGGGGAAUAUUGGACAAUGGGGGGAACCCUGAUCCAGCCAUGCCGCGUGUGUGAAGAAGGCCUUUUGGUUGUAAAGCACUUUAAGCGAGGAGGAGGCUACCGAGAUUAAUACUCUUGGAUAGUGGACGUUACUCGCAGAAUAAGCACCGGCUAACUCUGUGCCAGCAGCCGCGGUAAUACAGAGGGUGCAAGCGUUAAUCGGAUUUACUGGGCGUAAAGCGCGCGUAGGUGGCCAAUUAAGUCAAAUGUGAAAUCCCCGAGCUUAACUUGGGAAUUGCAUUCGAUACUGGUUGGCUAGAGUAUGGGAGAGGAUGGUAGAAUUCCAGGUGUAGCGGUGAAAUGCGUAGAGAUCUGGAGGAAUACCGAUGGCGAAGGCAGCCAUCUGGCCUAAUACUGACACUGAGGUGCGAAAGCAUGGGGAGCAAACAGGAUUAGAUACCCUGGUAGUCCAUGCCGUAAACGAUGUCUACUUGCCGUUGGGGCCUUUGAGGCUUUAGUGGCGCAGCUAACGCGAUAAGUAGACCGCCUGGGGAGUACGGUCGCAAGACUAAAACUCAAAUGAAUUGACGGGGGCCCGCACAAGCGGUGGAGCAUGUGGUUUAAUUCGAUGCAACGCGAAGAACCUUACCUGGUCUUGACAUAGUAAGAACUUUCCAGAGAUGGAUUGGUGCCUUCGGGAACUUACAUACAGGUGCUGCAUGGCUGUCGUCAGCUCGUGUCGUGAGAUGUUGGGUUAAGUCCC
rnacentral:rRNA from 1 species